CGGUGGUUGGAGCAGGUGAAAUGGUGGUAGAUGCAGUAGUUACAUUGGCAACAGUAGGCAGAACAGUAGGUGCAGCAGUAGGUGUAUCAGCAUAACACCUAGACUCUUUUUUACUAAUUGUGCCAUUUUGAACAAAAGGCUGCAUAGUAACAUUCCAGAAAAUCUGUGUUACGUUUUCUGCUUCCAAAGAGGUAGUAUGAUGACACACAAAGACAUUAUUCAGUUGAAUUGGAUGCAUAGCGUCCUUUACAACAAUUGUAACUGGUCCUUGUCUCCUAGCAUCAGGAAAGACAGCAGUAUCAUUGGUGUUGUAGGUAAAUGUGAUAAACUCAGCCCGAUAAGUUUCGUUGUUUUUUGUGAAGUUAAUGCUCCAAGAGUGACCAUCUCCAAACUGCACUGCCAGAAGUGCAGCUUGUGUGUCACUGCCACAGAUGCUUCCGUUGUGUGUCACAGUGGAUGUCAAAUCCAAGCUUGCAUUUUUAUAAUCACUACUGUUUGUUUCAUAUUUUAUCAAGAAUUUCAUCAUCCAUUGUGCGUACAAGCAUGUAAAAUUAGAGGCAUCCUUUACAUCUACUUCCACUGCAUAGGACUGGAAAAAACCGCAGGCACCGAGGAGGAGCAGCAGCAGCGCGAGACCGGCGGGGCAGCGCGGCGGUGCCAUACUGCCGGCCGAGGGGCUCUUCCGAGGGGCAGGCGGGCGCGGCAACAGCGUCGACAUCGCUCCACUUUCCAAGCUGUGCAGUGGCAUGGGGACUCACUGAGAUCCGGGCACCUGCAUGAAGAACGGCGUUGCCCAGCACAGCCUGGCAGCAGAGCGCUUCAGCUGCGGCUGUUACUGGGGAAGCAUGACGGCCACAGCUCUGAAACAAUCACUUUCUAUCUCAACUGUGUGAAAGCUGCGCUUCACCCCCGCUCAGAGCAGAUGGCGGCGUUUCUGAGCUGCUGCUUUUCUGGAGGAGGUGGUGAUGGGAAACCAAACCAUUAAAUGCUGCUGGGCCAGCAAACUGCUGAGUCAAGACUGGGGCAAUCACGUGGAAUGCCAAAAAAAGAAACCUUUGUGCUGAGGUGAAGGGAUCGGAGCCCAGGCUGCAGCGGGCGGCUGCAGUGUUUCCUGCAAAAGCCCACUGAGAGCUCACGCUGUGACACAGCUGGAAAAACAUGUUCCCAGCCUGCACGCAGAAGCAAAGAGACAAUGGUGGCCCCGGAUGCCUACCAGUAGUUACGCUGUAACAGUGUCAAAGGUUAAGGCAGAUUUUCUGCAGAUCAUGUAAAGAACUGUACUACAGUUACUAGAGGGUGACAGUAAGUAAUUCAGUAGGAGAAAAAAACCACCUGCUCCAUCUGUCAACUGAGGACUGCAUACAAAGAAGCCUGAGAAAACUUCCCAACAAGAAAAUACAGAAUUAAACAAUGGACCAAAAAAGCAGUAAGGAUGGGAGACAUCCAAUACAAAACAGACACACACACCCCCUCUCUCACAUGUAGGCCCCUGAAAGUGGGAUCACAGUGAUAAAAGUUAGAGAUCAUAGAGCGGUGUGAAAGACAUCUGUCAUAUCAGGGGACUCUCCUCUUCAGACCCAGAGUCAAAUGGAAUUAUGAAGACCAGAUACUUUCUUGCAGCUUCCUGCACAUCUUACUAAAUAACAUGCAAAGAGUUCAACAGCAUUCUUCUUAAAAUGUAAAUAGUACUCUUUAAAUGGGCAUGUUAACCACUGAAAGAAGUCCACUCUACUAUACUCCUCCAUUACACUGCUUUCAUUCAGUCAUCGGUAGUAUAAAAAGUCAAUUAACGGGAUUAACAGGCUAGUUUAUCCACUGGCAAUUGCGUAUGACACCAAGUGUGCAGUAAAACAAAGGCCAACAUAUGUUUACGCAAUAUAGUUGUACUGAUUUGGGUUUUCUUUAUCUCUUUCCAUGUAGUCUCUGUCAAUUAAGGAUUCUAUUCUCUUCUUAAGGUCAGCAGGCUGUAAAUUAAAGCAGAUGUCAGCAUUAUUAUUUUGUAGUCGACGCUUCUCAAUCCUACCUAAGCCAAAUAUCCAUACUGCUUGAGAUGACUGAUGAACCAUAUUAUAACUUACAUCUCUCAACACAUCAAAGCUUCUUAAACUUGCAGUGUGCAAUUAAAGAGAAAGUUACAAGAUUAGACAGAAUGCACCAUAUAUCUGAGCUCAGAUGUUAUCACAGAAUCACAGAAUCUAUGUUAUCUAAGCUAUGUCACUGUCUUUUGGAAAAUCAGUUUGCACUUGUACACAGUAAGCUAUUCUUUCUCAUAUUGCAUCUGUUACUACUAACAAACUCCCAGUUCUGAAAACCUUUACUAUGUUGUACUAAUGAAGAGGUUAACAUUCAGAUAAACUAAUGAAACCGACACUUUAAAAAAUCCUGAAAUUACGUACUUUUUGUUCCUUCUAUCAGGAAAGGGAACACAUGUUUCAGAUAGAAGCACUGUUUAACUGAGAACAGGUCAAGGAAUGUGAAGAGAGGUAAUACAUUUUGAAAACAAAAGAAAUCAGUACUACACCUUUACUGGGAAUUUAAGCUGGUUGUAGACCUCUGACACAAGCAAGUUAUGACUCAGUGUUUUUCGCAUCUUCAUAAUUCGAACAAUAGCGGCAUCAAUCUGGUAUUGCCGGUCCUGGAAUACUCUCUCUGUAGUGCUUGCCUGUUCCUCUACCUGAUGGAUCCAUUUAAAAAGAGUUUUAAAGAGAACAUCAGAACUGUUGAAUCCAUUCUUCUUCAUAUCUAAGACAAGUCUUAUUGUGAGACACUAAAAGGUCUACUGUAAAAUACUGGACAUAAAUCCUACAAAAUAUGGAAGUCCACUGUCUUAAGAACUUGUACUCAAGAGCAAAAUCUUUGCACAACUUUUACAUUGGUUGGCAAAUUCACAGUGAAUUUGUUUCUAUGUUCACAAAUCAGUAAAGGUCUAGGGAAUGAUUAAGGGUGAACAGAACAUUCAUACUUGGAACCUCUGCUAAUCAACCUUAGAGAUGUCAAGGAUGAUCGAUAUCUAAGUUAGCACAGAAGCUCACGUUUAAAUCUCCACUAUUAAGUGGAGAUAUCAUCCAAAGAGAUAUCAUCCAAAAUACAUGUGCAUCCUUCACACAGAUACCAUUAUGUACAUUACAACCGAGAGGAAUAAAGCUUGUAAAUGGGCAAGCAAUGAGAUACUUAACCCAAGAAUAAAAAACCUAGAGUAUUAGAAAAAACAACAAAAAAUAUACCGUUUCUUUCAUCUGAAUUUGGUUGAUUUUUAUCCUGAACAGCUUAUGUCUGAAAUCAUCAUUGCAUGUGAAUUUAUCACCAUCUUCCACAUCUUUUCCUUUGGGGCUCUUUGUCAGUACUCUAGCUUUGCCACAAGCCAGAGACUGAAGUGUCCUUCGCAGCUCUCCAUCCUCUAUCCCAGUGGCUUGCUUUAUCUCCUCUAGACUGAACUCCUCUCCUUCAUUAAACAUGAGCAGCACUAGUGUCUGGAACAAGGAGACCUGAAGUUCUUUUUUGCCCUAUCACAGAGGAAAUAACAGACAUCAUUAGGUUGUUCUCAGGGGGGAUCAACUCACUCUUCCAUGUAAAUUAUUUCACUUACAGGAUGCAGUUGUUCCUUAUUCAUUUUAGAAUAUGAAAGAAUAAAAGUUAUUGUUCUCCUCAUGUUUACUAUGAAAUGCAGAGCAAGACAGAGGUCAGAUUAGACUACCAUACCCACUGACAAAAUUUGCUAAUGUAUGUAUCAAAUUUAGACACAUUCAAAUCCAAAGCGUGCUUAAAAUUACAAUUUGAAAGACCUUUAAUCCAAACUGUAAGACGAGCAUUAGUCUAAAAACAUAGUUGCUAUUACUAUCUCUUUAAUAACUAAGUUGGAUAACACUUGUUUUAUCAUUAACAUUAUGAAAAACAAAACUUAGUAAACAUUCCCAGCUUUCAAGGGAAAUCAUCACAAGAUAUAUUCAUGCCCACGAAGAAAUGAUAAAGGGAAAUACUGGGAAACUCUCUAAAAACUGC
rnacentral:lncRNA from 1 species